AGGAAGAAGGAUACAAUGAGUUGUUUGUGACCUUGAGCUAGGCGUUUAUUUCACUUCUCAGCCUUUGUAAAAUGGAGAGUGGAACUAAAAUGGAGUGUGGGACGAGCGGAUCCCUGGAAGGUCCCUCCACCCCUAGCUUUUGAGGAGGAAGCCGAGAGAAAGAACGAGGCAGAGCAGAGGGUCAGAAGAGAAACAUUGGAGAUUUUCUCAGCCUUGAAUGAAGCCUGGACUUCAGGAAUGUCAUUAACAGCAGGACUUUUCAUGAUCAAUUCCAGUAACCCAGAUCUCAAGAUACGCCUCAAUAAAAUUCAAGUAGCCCUCAUUGGAACAAAGCCUCCAUUUGGUGGGAGCCGACGCCUGAAGCCGGGGAAGUGA
rnacentral:lncRNA from 1 species